CCGCACACAUCGGGGAAUUAGCGGUGCCCUGUACCCGCAAUCCGCUGCAGCGGGGAUGAUGCGGGCGAGGAGGGACGGGCUUUCUUUGAGGCGUCUGCCCACAGGGCGAUGAGAGACCGGUACUGCGCAACGGAGGACUGUGAAUCAUGUCAGGCGGGGAACCGAGCAGCAUUAAGCAGAAACCAUCGUGUGCCGCAGAGCUGCCGAUCUUGAGCCCAAAGUGCGGAAAGGCAAUUGGAAGCGCGCUUUCGAAUCGUCCGCGUGCGG
rnacentral:SRP_RNA from 1 species